rnacentral:rRNA from 1 species
UACGGGGGGGAGCAAGCGUUGUUCGGAUUUACUGGGCGUAAAGGGCGCGUAGGCGGCCUCUGCAAGUCGACUGUGAAAUCUCCGGGCUUAACCCGGAAAGGUCAGCCGAUACUGCAGGGCUAGAGUGCAGAAGGGGCAACUGGAAUUCUCGGUGUAGCGGUGAAAUGCGUAGAUAUCGAGAGGAACACCUGCGGCGAAGGCGGCAUCCUGGACCAAUACUGACGCUGAGGAGCGAAAGCCAGGGGAGCAAACGGG